CAUUGCCUUGCAUUAGUCUGGAGAGAGAUGACAAUGGAUCCUAUCUAGCUUUGCAACCAAGGUAUGAUCUCUCACACACAACCCAUCUCUUCAUUUAAUUUUCAUGUUCCGUUCUUAUAUUGAAAUUCUUAACCAAGGUAUAUAUGAUCUCACUCAACUCAUCUCUUCAUUUUUAACAUGUAUUUUACAGGAACGAACGAACUACAAAAAGGUGUAAGUAACAUAGAAAUGGAACACUCAUUUGAGCAAGAAAAGAACAGCAACUUAUGUGGAUAAAAGGUUGGCCUUGUGAAGGGUUGAAGAGCCUCAGUCUCGAACUUUGAGGGAGAGGGAUCAGGAUACCCGGGACAACCUUCCCUACAAGCUGCUACCAGAUGAUUGCUUGAGGAAAAGAAUGUGCUUCAAUAUCAGUUGGACUUUUAACUUUUGUCUAACUAGGAAUUGAGAGUACAAAUUGGUAAAAGAUAACCAUAAAGGAGGUAAACGGCUGGUGAAUCAUAGUUGAUUUUAACUGGCUUAUCAAAAAAAAAUAGUUGAUUAUAACUGUUAUUAAUUUAUAAGGAGAUCUAAGUAUGUAUGCAAACAUCUUAGGAUUGUGGUAAACAGACAUAUCCUAGCUCAUCAGCUAGUUUCACUUUUUGAAUUCGACAUAAAAUUUCAUAUUUUGACCACAUAUAAUUCCACUCUUACAUGUCUUCCUCAAUAAUACAUUUUGAUGGCAUAUAAACCCAUUAGCUCAAGUCAUAUUUUUUUACUCCCAUCUUAGGGCGCAGAACAUAAAUUUUAUUUGAAUGAUCUCAAAUUCCCAAUCUUACUAGCUAAAAUUAAUCUUACUAACACAAAUCAGCUAAUCAACAAAUUACUCAUUAGCAAUCCGCUAGCUUCCCAACUUGUGUUUUAUUUUUUGUCCUACCAAUAUAAUUUUAAUAUGUCAAUUAAAAAUUAUCAUGUAAAUUUGUAACUAACUACUCAUGUCCCAUGGUAAGAUUUCAUUAGUGGGACAUGAAAUUGGAAUAAUGUAGAAGGACACAAUAUAUUGAUUCAUUUAGGAGAUGCACUCAGCUAAUACAUUGAUAAUUAAUUAGCACAUCUACUAAAGUGUCAAUUAUUGAUACAAAUAAUUCACCUAACUUACUAAAUUAAGCAAAAAAAAUCCUUCUAAUUAGUGAUAAAAUCUCUCUAAGUUGAGGAAGACUAGGUAUUUGAUUGUUAUGUGGCCCCAUUUACAGUCCAGCCUAUGAUGUUAAUUUGUUAAUUGUCAUUGAAAAUGGAAAGGAAUUCCUUGCUCUUUUUCUUUCUUUCAUCAUUUUCUUUGUUAGUUUCAAAAAAAUAAAAUCAAUUUGUUUGUCAUUAUUGUUCCUAAGUCAUUUUUUUCUUUUUUGUUUUGGUCAAAGAUAGAUGGAUAGCGACAGACGGGGGAAUCUGCGGUUGAAGCUCUCUUUUGCCACGAAUGAAAUGGUAUCCAAAGCCCCCUAAGAAUGACAGUCAAUGGUCCCACAAAGUGGUAUCCCACCAGAAUCUUCAGCACAAAAAUAAUCAUGCAGAGAUGUUUCAAUAUGAACAAUGUUGGAAUAACAAUUCUUUUCUUGCUUACCAAAAAAAAGACUUUGGGUUAGGAUAAAGAGAAGAGAAAGAAAUGAGUGAUAUAUUGAUAUAGUAUAUGAUGUAAUAAAAAAUACCGCAAAAAAUAUGAAAAAAAAAACAUGUGAAAUUGAGAUGUAAGAGAAAUUGAAAUGCAUGUGAACAUAUCAUUACUCUUUAAAUUUUGAUUGAAUUCAGUGAUCCAUAUUCAUUCUUUUAUGAAAUCACUUUGUUUUAGUAUAAAUUAACAACCGCCUGACCACCUCUCUAUCAUGUUCCCUACUUCCCUCUUUAAUUAAGUCAUGAAUGCAAGAUUCGCUAAUGAUGUAGAAAUAAACAAAUAUUGUAUACUCAUGCAAGUGUUGUAGGGUAGAACUUGUGCUUUAACUGAAUUAAAUGGUUUACUCUGCAAAAGGUUUUUUUUUUUUU
rnacentral:lncRNA from 1 species